ensembl:misc_RNA 7SK 7SK RNA
GAGUAUGAGGGGAAACUAGCUGUGACAUCUGUCAACAUAUUGAUUUCCAGGGUUGAUACAGAUGGUCUGAGCUAAUCCCCGGUCUCCCUCACUACCCCAUUUGUGUCCCAUCCAAAGUGAAUGACCUUUUUAAAAAAGCAAACAAAAGAAAAGGACCAGUCAUGAAGAGUAUUUAGAAAGUGUAUAUCUUUUCCACAAUUUUUAGACAUAUUCAUAAUUUUUUCAAAAACAGAUAAAUCUGCAGAAUAAAUAGACACACUUUAGUUGGGAGGAUUCCUUUUCCUA